GAUGAACGCUGGCGGCGUGCCUAAUACAUGCAAGUCGAGCGAAUGGAUUGAGAGCUUGCUCUUAUGAAGUUAGCGGCGGACGGGUGAGUAACACGUGGGUAACCUGCCCAUAAGACUGGGAUAACUCCGGGAAACCGGGGCUAAUACCGGAUAACAUUUUGAACCGCAUGGUUCGAAAUUGAAAGGCGGCUUCGGCUGUCACUUAUGGAGGGACCCGCGUCGCAUUAGCUAGUUGGUGAGGUAACGGCUCACCAAGGCAACGAUGCGUAGCCGACCUGAGAGCGUGAUCGGCCACACUGGGACUGAGACACGGCCCAGACUCCUACGGGAGGCAGCAGUAGGGAAUCUUCCGCAAUGGACGAAAGUCUGACGGAGCAACGCCGCGUGAGUGAUGAAGGCUUUCGGGUCGUAAAACUCUGUUGUUAGGGAAGAACAAGUGCUAGUUGAAUAAGCUGGCACCUUGACGGUACCUAACCAGAAAGCCACGGCUAACUACGUGCCAGCCGCCGCAGUAA
rnacentral:rRNA from 1 species